rnacentral:rRNA from 1 species
AGUGAACGCUGGCGGUAGGCCUAACACAUGCAAGUCGAACGGCAGCACAGUAAGAGCUUGCUCUUACGGGUGGCGAGUGGCGGACGGGUGAGGAGUACAUCGGAAUCUACCUUUUCGUGGGGGAUAACGUAGGGAAACUUACGCUAAUACCGCAUACGACCUACGGGUGAAAGCAGGGGAUCUUCGGACCUUGCGCGAUUGAAUGAGCCGAUGUCGGAUUAGCUAGUUGGCGGGGUAAAGGCCCACCAAGGCGACGAUCCGUAGCUGGUCUGAGAGGAUGAUCAGCCACACUGGAACUGAGACACGGUCCAGACUCCUACGGGAGGCAGCAGUGGGGAAUAUUGGACAAUGGGCGCAAGCCUGAUCCAGCCAUAUCGCGUGGGUGAAGAAGGCCUUCGGGUUGUAAAGCCCUUUUGUUGGGAAAGAAAAGCAGCAGGUUAAUACCCCGCUGUUCUGACGGUACCCAAAGAAUAAGCACCGGCUAACUUCGUG